UACGGAGGGGGGCUAGCGUUGUUCGGAAUUACUGGGCGUAAAGCGCGCGUAGGCGGACCUGCAAGUCGGGGGUGAAAGCCCGAGGCUCAACCUCGGAACUGCCUUCGAUACUGCGGGUCUCGAGUCCGGGAGAGGUGAGUGGAAUUCCUAGUGUAGAGGUGAAAUUCGUAGAUAUUAGGAAGAACACCAGUGGCGAAGGCGGCUCACUGGCCCGGUACUGACGCUGAGGCGCGAAAGCCAGGGGAGCAAAGCGGG
rnacentral:rRNA from 1 species